CAGAGUUCAUGCCCUUACGGGUAGAUCUCCCACCCUUGAAAUACAUACCUUUGUUGCUUUGGCAGGCCGCGGUCUCGCUACCGGCUUUGGCUGGUAUGUGCCUGCCAGAGGACCCAACUCUUGUUUUUAGUGAUGUCUGAGUACUAUAUAAUAGUUA
rnacentral:misc_RNA from 1 species